AGAACGAACGCUGGCGGCAGGCUUAACACAUGCAAGUCGAACGGUUGUAGCAAUACAGCAGUGGCAGACGGGUGAGUAACACGUGGGAACCUUCCUAGGGGUACGGAACAACUCAGGGAAACUUGAGCUAAUACCGUAUACGUCCGUGAGGAGAAAGAUUUAUCGCCCCUAGACGGGCCCGCGUAGGAUUAGGUAGUUGGUGAGGUAACGGCUCACCAAGCCUACGAUCCUUAGCUGAUCUGAGAGGAUGAUCAGCCACACUGGAACUGAGACACGGCCCAGACUCCGACGGG
rnacentral:rRNA from 1 species